UACGGGGGGAGCAAGCGUUGUUCGGAUUUACUGGGCGUAAAGGGCGCGUAGGCGGCCAGCACAAGUCAGUUGUGAAAUCUCCGAGCUUAACUCGGAAAGGUCAACUGAUACUGUGCGGCUAGAGUGCGGAAGGGGGCAACUGGAAUUCUUGGUGUAGCGGUGAAAUGCGUAGAUAUCAAGAGGAACACCUGCGGCGAAGGCGGCCGACUGGUCCGGUUCUGACGCUGAGGCGCGAAAGCGGUGGGGAGCAAACAGG
rnacentral:rRNA from 1 species